rnacentral:rRNA from 1 species
UACGUAGGCAGCAAGCGUUGUUCGGAGUUACUGGGCGUAAAGGGUGCGUAGGCGGCUUCUUAAGUUUGGUGUGAAAUCUCCCGGCUCAACUGGGAGGGUGCGCCGAAUACUGAGGGGCUAGAGUGUGGGAGAGGAAAGUGGAAUUCCAGGUGUAGCGGUGAAAUGCGUAGAUAUCUGGAGGAACACCGGUGGUGUAAACGGCUUUCUGGACCAUUACUGACGCUGAUGCACGAAAGACGUGGGUAGCAAACAGG